CCACGUCGACACCAGCCAGUGCUGCCCGCAGUGCAAAGAGAGGAAGAACUACUGCGAGUUCCGGGGCCAGACCUACCAGACUUUGGAGGAGUUUGUGGUAAGAAGCGACGCCCUCCCCGGGCCACUCGGCACCUUCCAGGGCUGCAGCCCCGCCGUGGAGCAGCGGCGCGCGGUGCCCCUGCCCGGUCCGGCCCUCACCCCCCGUGCGCUGCGGGGUCCCCGGGUCCCGGAUUCGCUGGAAAGGGGCUGGGAGCGGCGCCGGAGGGGCCCCGACUGAGCGCUGCGGGGAAAUGCUCAACCUGUUUUCCGGCACGGGGUGAUUGACCGCUAUCCACCUGGGGUGCGUUCUCCUGCUCGCGCUGGCUCAGGGCAACCGCACUAGAAAGAAGCUCUUUCCUUGGGUCUGCGUUCGGAGUAUCAGGGAAAUGGCCUAGAAACUCAGAGGAAGAGAAAAGGUUAGCACGUUAGGCGCCAAAUCAGUGGCUGCAGAACCAGAAAGCCCCGUUUGGGUUAAAAGUGGGCGCCCGCCAGAAGAGUAGCGAUACCCACGGCCCUGGUCACUUCCCCCAUCCCGUGGUGGGCUUCCGGCUGCGACAACUCCUGCUGCUCUAGAAACAGAGAUUAUUGGCUCCACUAAGAGGAAACUGAGACCCAGAGCAUCUCAAUAAUGUGCAGAAAGCAGGGGAGCUGCCGGGAAGCACAUUCUUGCGUCGCACUAACCUUUCUCCGUAGCUCUCUCUUAACCCUUUCACGACCCGGGGUCACAGGCCCAGCCACCAGGGCCUCGCGGCCCAUCACGCAUGCGCUGGCCUGGGGGGCUCAGGGCCUGGGGCUCGGGAGGGCGCGGUCAGCGUCCCUCAACUACCUGGCCCGCGCUCGGCCUGCCCGCCUGGCUUCAGACUUAGCCUUUUACAGAUUUUUUUCCGCCUGCAGAGGGCGCGCUGACCUUCGGCUCCUAAACCUCGGGGUCCUAAAGCAGAGCUGGGAGGGCAGGGCAGCCUUUGCUUCAGCCCUCUGGAGAAGGACGGCUUUGGUGAGAGUCUCGCCUGAGCCAGGCCCACGCAGCACCUCACGCAGUGAGGAGCCCACCCUCCCGGGAGCCUGGCAGAUGCGUUCCCAGGUCCGGGUGCUGCACAAUAAAGCACGGGCCAAAGGCACCCACGGUGCUGACCGCCCGGAGGCUGCCAUUUGGGCCUGGGUGUGGGGGAGGCCGGGCCAUGGCUACAGCACAAUUCUCUUAAGAGUUUUGGGUUCUUGGGCCAAGGAUUUAGCUCAGUGGUUCCACCGCCUGCCUCGCCAGCGCACGGUCCCAAGUUCGAUCCCCGGUACCAAAAAAAUAAAUAAAAUAAAAUAAAUCCAUGUGAGAAGACUUUUGUGUUCUAAAACAAUCAAACUCUUAUAAGAUCAAAGAUAAGCAAUUGAUCUUUAAUUAAUAACAUUGACACCUGCACUGUUUAGAGUUCUGUGAUCCUUUUUAGGAUGGCCCCAUGCCCCAAGCUAAGGAAUUAGCAUGCUGGUUUCAGGAGCAUAAUAAACAAGUCUGAGUCACUCACCAUGUAGGGGUCACAGGUCGAGGAAAGAAUUCAGACUUGCGACUUUGUGACUCCUUGCUAAGGACUAGAGCCCUUACAAAUGCUCUGCCUGUGAGUCCUCUCUUACCUGAUUCCUGACUGUCAGUAGAUUCACGAUGUGUUUUCAAAUGGGGAGACUGGAAAGCAUGCGAUCUUCCCAAAGCAGGAAAGCUGUUUUAGAGGACAUGUUCCAUCUUCACUUGGCAUUUCACCCUUGACUUUGCCAAAUACCAGGAAGUACACGGGAAUGUUGCAGAUGUUUUUCUGGCUCUUUAUCAUAUGCGCUCCUGUGUAAU
rnacentral:lncRNA from 1 species